UUUUUUCAUUUUUUGCAAAUGUCAUGUUUGGUUUUGGCUUGUGGUUGACCUGUUUUUUAAGUAUGCUAACCCCUUCCUAUUAUUGUGAGUUUUAGCCUGAUGGUCCUGUAGGAUCAAACACUUCAUUACUAUAUUAAAAUUAAGAAGAGAAACAAACAAACAAACAAAAAAGGGUCUAUUUAUUUCCUAACAUCCCUUGCCCACAUUUUAUGAUUUUGAUGACUCUUUUUUAUUUUUUUCUUUUUAAUUUUAUUUUGUUUGAAGCAUGUUCAUGAUUAAAUCUGUAUGCUGGCUUAUUUGAGUGAGCUCUCUGAUUGGGGUUUCCUCAAUCCUCAUUCUUCCUCCUCUUCUUUUUUUUUUUUUUUCUUUUUCCUCCCUUUCUUUCUUUCCUUUUUUUUUGGUUUAGAGAAGCCCUUUCAGUAUUUCUUUUAGCCUGGGGUUUGCAUUGCUGUAUUCUUUUAGCUUCUGUUUGUUGGAAAGAAAUUUUUUUUUCUCCUUCUAAAUGAUAUUCUUGCUCGAUAGAGUAUUCUAGGUUGCAUAUUUUUUCCUUUUAGCACUUUAAAUAUCUCUUGCCAUUCCCUCCUGGCCUGUAGUGUUUCUGUAGAAAAAUCAGCUGAUAUUCUUACGGUGGUUCCCUUGUAGGUAACAUUCUGUUUUUCUCUUGCUGCCUUUAGGAUCCUCUCUUUAUCACUAACUUUUGCCAUUUUUAUUAUAAUGUGUCUUGAUGUAGGUCUAUUUGGGUUCAACUUGUUUGGUGCCCUCUGUGCUUCCUGUAUCCUGAACUCAGUAUCCUUUAGAUUUGGGAAGUUUCCAUUGAUAAUUUCUUCAAAUAUAUUUUCCAUUCCCUUAUCUUUUUCUCCUCCUUCUGGAAUUCCUAGUAUGUGUAGAUUGGCCUUCUUCAUAUUAUCCCAUAGGUCUCUUAUAUUGCUUUCCAGUUUUUUGAUUCGGUUUUGUGUCUGUUGACCGGAUUGAGUGAUUUCCAUUAUUCUAUCUUCCAUAUCACUGAUUCGUUCUUCUGCAUUAUUCAUUCUGGUUUUUACUGCCCCUAGUUCAGUUUGUAUCUCUGCAAAUGAAUGUUCUAGUUUUUCUUGGCUCCUCCUUAUAUUUUCUAGUUCCUUUCUGAGGGUAUCUGCAUUACUGUUCAUAUCUUCUCUGAAUUCCUUCAGUAUUUUCACUAUUUCUCUUUUGAACUCCAGGUCUGUCAGACUGCAGAGAUCUGUUUCAUUGUUGACUGCUUUAGGUGAGUUCUCCUGUUGGUUUAACUGGGGGUGGUUUCUCAGUUUCUUCAUCUUGCUUGUUGUUUUUUUUUCCUGGCGGAGUUGUACUCUCCGUUAUCAGGCAUUGUUUGCCUUGUCACUGCCAUGGAAUGUUUCCUGAGGGCUGGCGUUGUUGGUCAGUCUUUUCUGAGACAGGGUGGUUUUUCUGGAGUGUUGGCAGGGCUAACAGGGUCUCUCUGAAGCAAAGGGGGACUUCCUGAGGGCAGACAGGACUGGGAGAUCCACACCACGAUGGGAGCAGAUUUCACUCAGCUGCACAGAGCUUGCUCUGGCGUUUUUGGGCUGGCGCAGGGGGCUGGCGGUGCUGGGCAGCUGUUCCGCAGAGUUCAGCGCCCCCCAGGGUUGGAGCAGCUAUCUGGGUCACUGAGAACCCAAGAGGCUCUUCCCGGGGCAGCCUGACUCAGAAGAACUCUCUGAGAAUGUAGGCAGCACUUUACACAGCCUGGCCAACUUGUUCUAGCUUUUUCUGGGUUGCAGGGGCUCCUCCAGUGGGCUGGCAGUGCUGAGCAGCUAUUCCGCAGAAGUGCAGCACCCCUCGAGGGCUGGAGCGGCUAGUUGGGCCACUGCAAACCCAAGAGGCUCUUCCCCAGAGCAGCCCCAAGGACUGUCCGAGAAUUAGGCAGAUCUCUUCACGGCCUGGCCAAGCUUGUUCUAGCUUUUCUGGGCUGCAGGCCUUUUCCUGGGGGCUGGUUGUGUUUGGUGCUGCUCAGCGGGGGUGUAGCCCCUCCAAAGGGCAAGCAGGUGUCAGGGCAGGGACAGCCCCUGUGGUGGUAGGCUUCAGGCAACUGUUGAAGCCAGCCCUCCCGGAUGGCAGGCAUCCCCAGGUCCCUCGUGUUCGUAAGGGUUGGCGGGGGGGGUGGGGGGUGGAGGGGGUGGGGAGGAUGCACUGAGAAGCACAACUUUUUGAUAGCUAGCAGGCUGGUAAGCUUGCUGUGGUGUGGGGAGUAUUCUCUGGGGGCCCACCCCUUCUUCUCUCCCCUCCCCAACACUGGCACAGACCUGGCUCUUCUCCCAGGUUCCCUCUGAUGUGGUUUUCCACUUCCUCGCCCUUAGAGUAUUGCUCCCUCCCCCUGUGACGCUCUGCUUUCUAGUCUCCCAGGCAGUCUCUGCCCCAUCAAACUUGACAGACCAGUUUCUAGACCUCCCAAGCAGUCUCCGCUCCACCCACCCCCCAGUCUUUUCCCUGGGCCUAACCUCCGGAGCUGAGGUCUUGGUGCCCAGGCCCCACCCAGGCAUCUCAAUUUUUGGUGACUGUGCCCGUAGUUCAGAUGAUCCGUUCGGUUCUCACUCUGCUUUUCAGAACUCCAACUUCCUGCUACACUCUUCUCUGCAUCUAGAGAUUCCUCCGGUUCAGUUGAUCUUUCUGUCGAAUAGGUGACUUUCCAGGGUGCGGGAUCCCUUUCUCCUCUGCAGUUCCCUUUCAGGAGUGCCCGUCCAUCUCGGAUUCCCCUUCUCUCGCUCUCCUCUUUUCUCUUGUUUUAACCAGUAAUAUCACAAAAUUCUUGCUGUUAUUGGAGUUUAGGUUCUUCUGCCAGCGAUUGGUUGCUGUUCUGUGCGAGUCGUUUAUCCUGUAGAUGUGGUUUUUUUUUUGUUGUGUUUGUGGGAGAGGGCGAGCCUGUCCCCCUACUCUUCUGCCAUCUUGCCUCCUCCCUCUGCCUUGUGUUUUCUGAUUAAAUGCUGGCCCUUUCCCCAGCCAACAACAGCCUAUUCGUCUCUGUUGUAUUUAGGAAGCUCAGUUUCAUUAAAGAGCAGUUGCUAUGGUCAGUCCAGGUCUACAGUAGCUAACCAGUCCUGAGAUCAUCAAGUAUGCUUUCACUCCCCCAACAAAUGCUUUCUGCAUAGUGUUGAUGAAGAGAUCAGCUCUGGGACUUUUUGAGUGCACAUAUUUAGACAAUUGUUAAUCAGGUUUUUCUAAUUUAAUACUCCAAUAUCCCUUUAUUUCCCUUAUUUUGUACCAAAGCUAUCCUGGUAUUCAUGUUUAUUUAGUAUAGACCACAUUUGGUUCUUGUUUAUAGUUAAUAAGUCAAACAAGCUUCUCCAAUCAUUCCCAGCUACCUGGACUAAUACAAUGAGUCCAAAUCUUUGUAACAUUCGUCAUCCAAAAAGAGACUUGCUCAUUCAGUAAGGGGAAAAAAGUUGCUGCUUCUAGUAAACAAAGUUCAAUAGAAUUUAGGUGUUUAAUGUCUCCAGUUUCACCAAAGUCAGCCUACUUGUUCCAACUCCAUUUUCCAGCAUCUUACUCCUUCCCAGUGACUGAUCAAACUUUAAUAUUACAUGAACCACAAUUUUGGGAAUUCAAUUUCCAUUGUAAUUCUGUCAUCUUCAUAAUUAUAUUUUCCAUUUGUUUUACAGAAAUGUUGGCCCUGUCAUCAAAAGAGACAGUGUUUCUGUGGGGGCAGGCAUAGAAGCUUUCUGGUCCUUUAACCAGAUCUUGAGCUGAGAAUUACAAGCUCUGCAUUAACAUUUCUUCCCCAAGUUCUUCAGUGCCCUUAGAAAAAACCACCCAAGCCAGUAAGGCAUAUGCCUUAAUUUCACUAUAACAUUUGCUUUCUGAUAACUCAUUUCUAAGGUCUUAUUCCUCUGUAACAUUACUGUCCUGUAGACAUAUGUGAACCACAAAUGCAAGCUAUAUCUGUGUUGUUAAAAUGCUCAGUAGCCACAUUAAAAAUGUAAAAAGGUGAAACAAAUUUUAAUAAUUUAAAUAAAUAUAUCCAAAAUAUUAUUUUAGCAUGUAGUCAAUAUAAUAAAAAUAAAACAUUUUUAUUUUUUCUGUCUGAAAUCUCAUGUAUCUUUUAUAGAUGUGGCAUAUCUCAAUUAGCAUUUCAAGUUGGUCAGUAGGUACAUGUAGCUAGCAGCUGCUAUACUGGACAGCAUAUAUCUAGAACUCCUAUUAGCUGUUUCUGUAUCAGUUUGAUGAAAGAAGUAGAAAGUAUGGAGUACACAUUGUGGUUCAGCAGUUAACGAAUCUGACUAGUAUCCAUGAGGACACGGGUUCUAUCCCUGGCCUUUCUCAUUGAGUUAAGUAUCCAGCCUUGCAGUGAACUGUGCUGUAGGUCACAAAUGUGACUCAGAUCCUGUGUUGCUGUUGCUAUUGCUGUGGCUGUGUCGUAGGCCUGCAGCUACAGCUCUGAUUUUGACCCCUAGCCUGGAAACCUCCAUAUGCCACAGGUGUGGCCCUAAAAAGACCAAAAAAAGGGGGGUAGAACAACAUAUGUGAUAUUGAGUAAGAAUUUUUUAUAAGGACUAGAACAAUUAUAGAAAUUGGAAUAGGUAUCUCUGCAUUACUGUUGUCUCUACAUCCGAUAUUGAGUGUGAUGCUAUUAGCCAUUAGGUGUCAGUCAGACUAGUAGUGGAAAGGAAAACUGGAUUAUGCAAUACUCAGGAUAAGGGACACACUGGAUGAGCUAGAAUCAACAUCUUUCUCUCUGUCUCCAACUACUGCAGGAAAAACAUGCAAGGGAAGCUGCAGCCCUUGACCACAGACUUGCAUGUUCACCUGGCCAUGAACUAUAAGAAGCUGGAAGGUGUCUCCCCAUGUCAUCAAAGUGAGACUGCAGAUGGGUGAGUACAAGUGUAAGAGGCUAUAGUGCAUAACUCAUUACACUAAUCUUCUGAGUCUGGAAAAUAUGCUUCUUAUAAGAUAAACUUGUUAUAGACAAUCUAGGUAUUGAAUAUUUUCAACAAAGAAAAUUUUUUUGGAUUUUCCAUUAUGGCACAAUGGGUUAAGAAUCUGACUGCAGCGGCUCAGUUCACUGCAGAGUGGCAGGUUCAAUCCCUAGCUUGGCAAAGUGGGUUAAAUGACCUAGCAUUGCCAAAGCCGCAUCUCAGAUUCAGUUCCUGGCCUGGGAACUUACAUAUGCCAA
rnacentral:lncRNA from 1 species